rnacentral:rRNA from 1 species
UGGAACGCAUAGAAGUGAGAAUGCCGGUAUGAGUAGCGAAAGACAGGUGAGAAUCCUGUCCACCGUAAGACUAAGGUUUCCAGGGGAAGGCUCGUCCGCCCUGGGUUAGUCGGGACCUAAGGAGAGACCGAAAGGUGUAUCCGAUGGACAACAGGUUGAUAUUCCUGUACUAGAGUAUGUAGUGAUGGAGGGACGCAGUAGGCUAACUAAAGCAGACGAUUGGAAGAGUCUGUCUAAGCAGUGAGGUGUGAAUUGAGUCAAAUGCUUAAUUCUAUAACAUUGAGCUGUGAUGGGGAGCGAAGUUUAGUAGCGAAGUUAGUGACGUCACACUGCCAAGAAAAGCUUCUAGCGUUUAAACAUACUCUACCCGUACCGCAAACCGACACAGGUAGUCAG